rnacentral:rRNA from 1 species
GACGAACGCUGGCGGCGUGCUUAACACAUGCAAGUCGAACGGUAAGGCCCCUUCGGGGGUACACGAGUGGCGAACGGGUGAGUAACACGUGGGUGAUCUGCCCUGCACUUCGGGAUAAGCCUGGGAAACUGGGUCUAAUACCGGAUAGGACCACGCUCUGCAUGGAGUGUGGUGGAAAGCUUUUGCGGUGUGGGAUGGGCCCGCGGCCUAUCAGCUUGUUGGUGGGGUGAUGGCCUACCAAGGCGACGACGGGUAGCCGGCCUGAGAGGGUGUCCGGCCACACUGGGACUGAGAGACGGCCCAGACUCCUACGGGAGGCAGCAGUGGGGAAUAUUGCACAAUGGGCGCAAGCCUGAUGCAGCGACGCCGCGUGGGGGAUGACGGCCUUCGGGUUGUAAACCUCUUUCAGUACCGACGAAGCGCAAGUGACGGUAGGUACAGAAGAAGCACCGGCCAACUACGUG